GACGUGGUUGAUGAUGCAUAUUCUUUUUUCCCCAUCUUAUCGACUAUGGUGAAACAGAUCUGAAAAUAAGCCAAACAUGUCUGAAACCAUGUC